ensembl:snRNA U6 U6 spliceosomal RNA
GUGUUACUUCGGUAUCACAUCUACUAAAAUUGGAACGAUACAGAGAAGAUUAGCAUGGCCCCUGCUUGCAAGGAUGACACGCAAAUUAAGUGAAGCGUUCUAUCUUUUA